AUGCGAUGAGUCGAUUGUGGCUAUGCCACACGCGCUAAGGAGAUCAUAACGCAGGAGCGGAUCUUGGCAAGUUGUGUGAACCUGCUUGCCACGCUUUUUACAAAGUGCCUUUUCCCUUGUUUUAACAAGGGAUUUUUU
rnacentral:sRNA from 1 species